UCUACCUGAUCCGAGGUCAACCUUUGGAAAAUUGGGGGGUUUUACGGCAAGAGUCCCUCCGGAUCCCAGUGCGAGACGAAAUGUUACUACGCAAAGGAGGCUCCGGGAGGGUCCGCCACUACCUUUGAGGGCCUACGUCGACCGUAGAGCCCCAACACCAAGCAGAGCUUGAGGGUUGAAAUGACGCUCGAACAGGCAUGCCCGCCAGAAUGCUGGCGGGCGCAAUGUGCGUUCAAAGAUUCGAUGAUUCACUGAAUUCUGCAAUUCACAUUACUUAUCGCAUUUCGCUGCGUUCUUCAUCGAUGCCAGAACCAAGAGAUCCGUUGUUAAAAGUUUUGAUUAUUUUGCUUAUGCCACUCAGAAGAAACGUCGUUACAAUAGAGUUUGGUUAUCCUCCGGCGGGCGCCGGGUCCGGUCCCGCGGGGGGUCCGGUCCGGGCCGGGAGGCGUCCUUUUCAGGGGACGGCCUACCCGCCGAAGCAACAGUUGUAGGUAUGUUCACAAAGGGUUAUAGAGCGGUAACUCAGUAAUGAUCCCUCCGCAGGUUCACCUACGGAA
rnacentral:rRNA from 1 species